UACGUAGGGUGCAAGCGUUGUCCGGAAUUAUUGGGCGUAAAGAGCUCGUAGGUGGUUUGUCGCGUCUGCUGUGAAAACGCGAGGCUCAACCUCGCGCCUGCAGUGGGUACGGGCAGACUAGAGUGCGGUAGGGGAGAUUGGAAUUCCUGGUGUAGCGGUGGAAUGCGCAGAUAUCAGGAGGAACACCGAUGGCGAAGGCAGGUCUCUGGGCAUUAACUGACGCUGAGGAGCGAAAGCAUGGGGAGCGAACAGG
rnacentral:rRNA from 1 species